rnacentral:rRNA from 1 species
AUUGAACGCUGGCGGCAGGCCUAACACAUGCAAGUCGAGCGGAUGACGGGAGCUUGCUCCUUGAUUCAGCGGCGGACGGGUGAGUAAUGCCUAGGAAUCUGCCUGGUAGUGGGGGACAACGUUUCGAAAGGAACGCUAAUACCGCAUACGUCCUACGGGAGAAAGCAGGGGACCUUCGGGCCUUGCGCUAUCAGAUGAGUCUAGGCCGGAUUAGCUAGUUGGUGGGGUAAUGGCUCACCAAGGCGACGAUCCGUAACUGGUCUGAGAGGAUGAUAAGUCACACUGGAACGGAGACACGGGCCAGACUCCUACGGGAGGCAGAAGUGGGGAAUAUUGGACAAUGGGCGAAAGCCUGAUCCAGCCAUGCCGCGUGUGUGAAGAAGGUCUUCGGAUUGUAAAGCACUUUAAGUUGGGAGGAAGGGCAGUAAGCUAAUACCUUGCUGUUUUGACGUUACCGACAGAACAAGCACCGGCUAACUCUGUGCCAGCCGCCGCGGUAA